rnacentral:rRNA from 1 species
AUGGGGGCAACCCUGAUCCAGCCAUGCCGCGUGUGUGAAGAAGGCCCUCGGGUUGUAAAGCACUUUCAGUGAGGAAGAAGGCUUGUCGGUUAAUACCCGGCAAGAAAGACAUCACUCACAGAAGAAGCACCGGCUAACUCCGUGCCAGCAGCCGCGGUAAUACGGAGGGUGCGAGCGUUAAUCGGAAUUACUGGGCGUAAAGCGUGCGUAGGCGGCUUGAUAAGCCGGUUGUGAAAGCCCCGGGCUCAACCUGGGAACGGCAUCCGGAACUGUCAGGCUAGAGUGCAGGAGAGGAAGGUAGAAUUCCCGGUGUAGCGGUGAAAUGCGUAGAGAUCGGGAGGAAUACCAGUGGCGAAGGCGGCCUUCUGGACUGACACUGACGCUGAGGUACGAAAGCGUGGGUAGCAAACAGGAUUAGAUACCCUGGUAGUCCACGCCGUAAACGAUGUCGACUAGCCGUUGGGGUCCUCGAGACCUUUGUGGCGCAGUUAACGCACUAAGUCGACCGCCUGG